rnacentral:rRNA from 1 species
CGCAAGGCAGAGUGGUAGAAGAGCGUUGCAUGCGCGUCGAAGGGCGAUGGCGACUGACCCUGGAGCACAUGCAAGUGAGUAUGCAGACAUGAGUAACGUUAAGCCGGGUGAAAUCCCCGGCCGCCGUAAACCCGAGGUUUCCAGGGCAACGUGUUUCGUCCCUGGGUUAGCCGGGACCUAAGCCGAGGCCGAGAGGCGUAGGCGAUGGACAUCAGGUUAAUAAUCCUGAGCUCGCAACCCUUAAACUGGGGGGACGCAUGAGAAAAGAUGACUAGGUUAUUGAAUUCCGAGUUGAGUCCACGGACUCAGCGCAUCAUUGGAUCGAGUGCCAAGAAAAGCCCCAGCGUAUGCUAAGCGACCCGUACCGCAAACCGACACAGGUGGGUGGGUAGAAUAUACCAAGGCGUAAGAGUGAAACCUGGUUAAGGAACUCGGCAAAUUAGCCCCGUAACUUCGGAAGAAGGGGUGCCUGCAGCGAUGCAGGCCGCAGAGAAAUGGCCCAACCGACUGUUUAUCAAAAACACAGCACUCUGCAAAGACGCAAGUCGAAGUAUAGGGUGUGACACGUGACCAAUGCCGAAAGAUUAAGGCAAGGGGUUAGCCGCAAGGCGAAGCUCUAAACCCAAGUCCCGGUGAAUGUCGGCCGUAACUAUAACGGUCCUAAGGUAGCGAAAUUCCUUGUCGGGUAAGUUCCGACCUGCACGAAUCGUGAAACGAGUUGGGCACUGUCUCAACCAGGCGCUCAGUGAAAUUGUAGUGGCGGUGAAGAUGCCGCCUACCCGCAGAAGGACGGAAAGACCCUAUAGACCUUAACUGUAAGCUGUCAUUGUUUCUUCGGUUUUAAUGCUCAGAGUAAGUGGGAGACGCUGAAGACGCCCUUUAGGGGGCGUCCGAGUCAUCAAUGAGACACCACCCUUUGAAACUGGAGGAUCUAACCCUGAGCCGUGAAUCCGGCCAGAGGACCGUGUCAGCCGGUCAGUUUUACUGGGGCGGUAUCCUCCCAAAGAGUAACGGAGGAGCGCGAAGGUGGGCUCAGCCCGGUUGGCAACCGGGUGUCGAGUGCAUGGGCAUAAGCCCGCCUAACUGUGAGACCAACAAGUCGAGCAGAUGCGAAAGCAGGCCCAAGUGAUCCGGCGGUAGAAAGUGGAAUUGCCGUCGCUCAACGGAUAAAAGGUACCUUAGGGAUAACAGGCUGAUCACGCCCAAGAGUUCAUAUCGACGGCGUGGUUUGGCACCUCGAUGUCGGCUCGUCGCAUCCUGGGGCUGGAGAAGGUCCCAAGGGUCCGGCUGUUCGCCGGUUAAAGCGGCACGCGAGCUGGGUUCAGAACGUCGCGAGACAGUUCGGUCCUCUAUCCUCUGUGGGCGUUGGAAAAUUGAGGGGUUCAGACCUUAGUACGAGAGGACCGGGUCUGACGCACCACUGGUGCAUCGGUUGUACUGUCAAGUGCAUGGCCGAGUAGCUAAGUGCGGACGGGAUAAGCGCUGAAAGCAUCUAAGCGCCAAGCCCUUCCCAAGAUGAGUUUUCCCUACAGGUUCGUGGAAGACCACCACGUUGAUAGGUCGCAGGUGUAAGUGCAGCAAUGUAUUGAGCCGAGCGAUACUAAUUACCAAUUGACUUCAUCAU